rnacentral:rRNA from 1 species
AGAGUUUGAUCCUGGCUCAGAUUGAACGCUGGCGGCAUGCUUUACACAUGCAAGUCGAACGGCAGCACGGGCUUCGGCCUGGUGGCGAGUGGCGAACGGGUGAGUAAUGCGUCGGAACGCGCCGAGUAGUGGGGGAUAACGCAGCGAAAGCUGUGCUAAUACCGCAUACGUACUGAGGUAGAAAGUGGGGGACCUUCGGGCCUCACGCUAUUCGAGCGGCCGACGUCUGAUUAGCUAGUUGGUGGGGUAAAGGCUCACCAAGGCGACGAUCAGUAGCGGGUCUGAGAGGAUGAUCCGCCACACUGGGACUGGGACACGGCCCAGACUCCUACGGGAGGCAGCAGUGGGGAAUUUUGGACAAUGGGCGCAAGCCUGAUCCAGCCAUGCCGCGUGUCUGAAGAAGGCCUUCGGGUUGUA